rnacentral:lncRNA from 1 species
GAACUGGGGGUGGGGCUGCAGGACAAUACCAGCUCUUCAGGAACCACGGUGUCACACGUUGGAUUCACCAUAGCCGGCUGAAACCAGUGGCAGCAGUGACUCCCGAUGACAACCAGUGGAUUAGCCAGCAAGACCCAAAUCGCCCCACCCGAAUAAUCCUACGGCGAAACCUAACCACCGCCCGUUUCACCUCAAGGAAGAGCUCCCCUCCAGAGAAAAACCGAGAGUCAUCAUUUGCCUGCUCAACUAUGAAUAAAGUUCCACGUACCUUCUCUCUGCUCACUUCUUUCAGAGGCACUUCCGGCUCACGAAACUCUUCAGCUAAGUUCCUGGGGAAUUUGCUGAGUGUCAAAACAUGAAUUAAACCAGAAGAGAUAUGAUAGUGGGUUUUGUCUGAGAGGGAUGCCCAGCCUUGUGAAUAAGUCAUCUUCCAGUGUGGAGGAUUGCUUGCUCCCUGACCUGUAUCCACUGGGGACCCACAUAUACCGGGCAUUCUGCUCACCAGAGACACACACAAGACUCAUGGGUCAAUCACCAAAACCUGGGGCCACAGCUCAGACCUGAUCUGUCAUGUCAGACAAGGCUGAAAUAUUGUUCUUCUGUGUUGUGAGUUUUCUCAAAUACAAUACAAAACUUUCUCCUUGCAGCUCAAUCAAGGCAAUCUGCAUAGUAAGAAGAGUGUGGGAUUUGGAGGCAAGAGACUUGGGUGUGAGUUUCAGGCCCCUGAUUUUGUGUAAAUCACAAUUCUUCCUACCUCUUGAUUUUCCUAAACUGUAAACUGAGCUGCAUGCCACCCGCCCUAUUUCUUCAAAAGGUUCUUAUAAAGACUGAAUGAAAUACUGUAUGCAAAAAUAACACAUUAAAACCACUUUAUGAAUGUUAUUAUUCUUAUUAAGCACCAUCAAAGUUGAAGACAUGAACCUAGAAACUUCAGAGGACAAAAGAUAUGUGAAAAUAACCAAUUUUUCAGGAUACUACCAUCUGGUUGGAGAUAGCUCUGAUCCCUGCAUCUCUCCUGCCUCAUCUCUGUUCAUUCCAACCCCAGUCAGAUUGAGGAAGCCUGCCCUGACCAGUCUCUGCUCCACAUCAAGUCUAAGACUGGAUU